CGCAUCCGCCGGUCGCGCCUUCGUCCAUGGGCGUCGGGGAGCCUCUUGCGAUCUGUCGAGUCUCUGCCAUCGCAACGAGGGCGUCGACCUCCUCCGGGACGAGCGCGUCGCCAUCGGCCUCUCGCUCCUUGUAGAUCAAUCGUCCAGCACCUUCUUCGUCGCCGUUUCCAAGAUCUCGGGGGUGGACGCUCGCUGCCGAAGCUCGCGGAAGAUAGGCUGGAUGCAACUCUGAUAUAGCAUCCGAAUCAGGAAAGGAAGGCCUUUUGUGUAGCUGGAUAAUCCUGAAGUUGAGGAUCUGGUUGACUUACUAACUUGUUUCCAGCACCAAUUUGCUAUCUUAUAUAGUCAGAGUAUGCUUCCUACCGAUUACUAAAGAGAAAUGAGAGCUUGUUACUUGACCAAUGUUAGUUUUACACCAUCAUGUGGGUGGAGAUUAUACAUGGUCAUCCUUGCCAGGUCAAAUGGCAGAGAGCCACCUUUAGUACUAUCCUUCAUACUCUCUCCAUUGAGGGAACUGAAGUCAGCCAGGCUGAAUUAUCAGGAUCUGAUGAGUCAACCGAUCCAUCAGAUGAGCCAGAUGUUCCUUCUGCUGGAUGAUGAAUGCUGGUUUCUGUUGACUGACAGAAGCAUUGAUCCUGUAUACGUUCUCAAAGAGGUCAAUGGCUUAUUGGAAGAAAAGGUAUGCACUAUAUUUUCCUUUUCAUAAUGAUUUUUUUAAUGUUGUAACAUUAUUCCAGUAAUAUGACAUUCAUGGUGCAACACAUUUGCUUUCUGUCUUCUUUGGCAAUCAAGGGGCACUUUGCUCAUAGACAUUGAUGUGUUGCUUGUGAGCUGAUCACUUCUAACUUGAUAAUCUAAAGCAAACAUAAAUCAACUGGGCACU